rnacentral:tRNA from 3 species
GGGUCGUUAGCUCAGUUGGUAGAGCAGCGGACUUUUAAUCCGUUGGUCACAGGUUCGAAUCCCGUACGGCCUACCA